UAGGGAAUCUUCCACAAUGGACGAAAGUCUGAUGGAGCAACGCCGCGUGAGUGAAGAAGGUCUUCGGAUCGUAAAGCUCUGUUGUUGGUGAAGAAGGAUAGAGGCAGUAACUGGUCUUUAUUUGACGGUAAUCAACCAGAAAGUCACGGCUAACUACGUGCCAG
rnacentral:rRNA from 1 species